rnacentral:rRNA from 1 species
UACGAGGGGUGCAAGCGUUGCUCGGAAUUAUUGGGCGUAAAGGGUAGGUAGGUGGUCUCAUUUGUCUGGGGUGAAAGCCUUGAGCUUAACUCAAGAAGUGCCUCGGAAACGGUGAGACUGGAGUCCUGGAGAGGGUUGUGGAAUUCCCGGUGUAGCGGUGAAAUGCGUAGAGAUCGGGAGGAACACCAGAGGCGAAGGCGGCAACCUGGACAGGCACUGACACUCAACUACGAAAGCGUGGGGAGCAAACAGG